GAUGAACGCUGGCGGCGUGCCUAAUACAUGCAAGUCGAGCGAACGGACGAGGAGCUUGCUUCUCUGAUGUUAGCGGCGGACGGGUGAGUAACACGUGGAUAACCUACCUAUAAGACUGGGAUAACUUCGGGAAACCGGAGCUAAUACCGGAUGAUAUUUUGAACCGCAUGGUUCAAAAGUGAAAGACGGUCUUGCUGUCACUUAUAGAUGGAUCCGGGCUGCAUUAGCUAGUUGGUAAGGUAACGGCCUACCAAGGCAACGAUGCAUAGCCGACCUGAGAGGGGGAUCCGCCACACUGGAACUGAGACACGGGCCAGACUCCUAAGGGGGGCAGCAGUGGGGAAUAUUGCACAAUGGGCGAAAGCCUGAUCGAGCCAUGGCGCGUGGGGGAAGAAGGUCUUCGGAUUGUAAAACACUUUUAUUUGGGAGAAAGGGCAGUAAUUAAAUACGUUGCUGUUUUGACGGUACCAAAAGAAGAAGCCCCGGCUAACUUCGUG
rnacentral:rRNA from 1 species